rnacentral:piRNA from 1 species
UAAUGUCUACUAUAGGAAAAAAUCAAUGUC